AAGAUCUGCUGAUCUAAAUGACCAGGAAAUACUACCAAAUAAUUUCCGAGAGAUAGCAUACACCCUCUGGUAUUGAAGAAUUACUCUUGGAGCAGAGGACUCCGGGCCGCCACGACCUCCGCAUCUCCGCCUUCCGCUUCCCCCCUGCACUGCCCUUUCCCCUGACAUUGGCAAGCUGCACUGUCACAUUUCUCUGCUGAUCCUCCAAAUCCACGCAUCCCACUUCACAUUACUCUGCUGAUCUCCUCAUCCUAAUAAAUUUUCGCCAUCGUCAACCCGUCGUUGAUUUGAUGUGAGCAAAGUUUCUAUCGAAUUCAUGCUCUCUAGAUCCUGAAGAUGGACUCGCUGCCUUCCCAAUCGGGAAGGUUCACGGCCGAAGCCACCACCUCCCUUGGCAGCCCUGACAAGGGCCUCGGAAGAGCCGGCUCUUCCUUGGCCAAAUCCCUCUCCGAUGGGUCCACCCAGAGCCUCGCUUCCAUUCUCAACAAUCCCCUCGUCGGCAAAUCCGGUGUUUAUGGCUCCGACGCGUCGUGGGUCGGGUGGUGGUCCUCUUCCACCGCGGUAAAUCCUCCUGAAUUCUCUCCGUUGGUGCCGAACAAAGCCUUGCCGGAAGUUAAUCGAUCCGAUUUUCAGCAGUACUUGAGUUUGAUUUCUGAACCGUACGGUCGAUUUGAGGACGUCAGGAAUCACACGAGCAAGGAAAGUCUUGACUUGGAGAGCAUUGGGGGUCAGGGGGAAGCACUAGUCGCGUGCUUAAGAGAAGUCCCGGCAUUAUACUUCAAGGAAGAUUUUGCGCUCGAGGAUGGCGCAACGUUCCGCGCGGCGUGCCCCUUCUUGACGGUGUCGGAGAACGUUGUGCUGCAAGAGAAGCUGUCGCAGUAUCUCGACGUGGUUGAAUUGCACUUGGUAAAAGAGAUUUCGUUGCGCUCCAAUUCGUUUUUCGAGGCUCAGGGGCAAUUGCAAGACUUGAAUGUGAAGAUUGUGGAAGGCUGUAAUCGGAUCAGGGAGUUGAAGGAGACCAUAAGGCUUUUGGAUGCGGAUUUAGUAGAGUCCGCGAGGCAAGUUUCAGCGUUGAAUGUGACGAGGACUAAUUUGUUGGGGCUUCAACAAAAGUUGAGGCUUAUAUUAUAUGUCAACCAAGCUCUCUCAGCUCUCAAAUUGCUUGUUGCAUCUGCAGAUUGUGCUGGAGCCUUGGAUGUCAUUGAUGAUUUGCAGCAUUUGCUGGAUGGUGAUGAGCUUGCUGGUUUGUAUUGCUUUCGGCACCUUAGAGAACAUGUGGCGGCUUCAAUGGAUUCUGUGAACAGCAUUCUUUCGGUGGAAUUUAUGCGUGCUUCUUUACACGAUGCUGAGGAUUUGGAUGUGAUUAUUUUAUCAAAUGCAAAGACAAGGGCUACCACUCCUGCAAAUGGAAACGAUGAUGAAGUUAAUUUGGAUAAGGAAGAAACUUCGAACUUUCGAGAUCGUCUUCUCCCUGUCAUCAUUGGGUUGCUUAGAACGGCUAAACUUCCCUCUGUCUUGAGGGUAUAUCGUGACACACUCACUACUGAUAUGAAAACUACAAUUAAGACAGCAGUUGCAGAGCUGCUUCCAGUUCUUGUGGCUCGACCUCUGGAUUCAGAUUUCACACAAGUAGAGAGAACUGCUGAUGCAGAUGGUGGAGGUUCAUCACUAGCCAGCAAGUUGAGAAGUCUGUCAUCUGAUAGCUUUGUCCAACUUUUGUGUGCUAUUUUCAAGAUUGUGCAGGCUCAUUUAGUGCGGGCUGCAGAAGUUAAAAAGGCCAUUGAGUGGAUUAUGUGCAACCUUGAUGGCCACUAUGCCGCCCAUUCAGUUGCUGCUGCAAUUGCAGUAGGUGCAGCUGCUGCUGAUGCAACUCAGGAGAGUGAUGGUCAAUUUGGUUCAUUGCAAUUAUAUUCUCCUCAAAAGAAUGCUACCAAGGUUCCUUUGUUCCAAGGAAAGGGAAAUGAUGCAACGAGUUCAUCAAAUAUGUCAAGAAAUUUCCGAGCUGAUGUAUUGCGCGAAAACACAGAAGCUGUGUUUGCAGCUUGUGAUGCUGCUCAUGGACGAUGGGCUAAGCUGCUUGGUGUUCGUGCUAUUCUUCACCCAAAAUUGAGAUUGCAGGAAUUUUUAAGCAUAUAUGGCAUCAGCCAGGAGUUUAUAACUGCUACAGAGAAGAUUGGUGGAAGGUUGGGAUAUAGCAUUCGUGGAACACUACAAUCUCAGGCUAAAGCCUUUGUUGAUUUCCAGCAUGAAUCUCGAAUGGCCAAAAUUAAAGCCGUACUUGACCAAGAAACAUGGGUUGAAGUAGAUGUUCCUGAUGAAUUUCAGGUCAUAGUCACUUCAAUGAUAUGCUGUGAGCCUUUAUUUACUGGGAACCUUGAUGAUACUCAAGUUAAUGUGGCAAUUAGUGAUGGUGAAGCAAUUUCAAGAAAUGAUGGUUUACCCGUGUCUGAUUCUGGACUAUCAAAUUCCCAAGAGAACAUUGAGCAGUCUGAUUCUCUUGAUGCAUCUGGAGAUAAUAGUUUGCAGUGCAAAUCUUCAUUGUUGGGUGGGGUAACGGGAAAAAAUAAUGCUGAAGUUAUGACUUCUUCAGCUCAGAGUAAUAGUAGUAAGAUGAAGGAGCAUGGAAAAUCUACCUCCCAAACCCUUUCAUAUAAAGAUGUUGGUUAUCACAUGGUAAACUGCGGGUUAAUAUUGCUGAAGAUGUUAUCAGAAUACGUUGAUAUGAAUAACUUUUUGCCUGCGCUGUCAUCAGAAAUUGUUCACCGAGUUGUAGAAAUUUUAAAGUUUUUCAAUACAAGGUCAUGUCAACUUGUUCUUGGUGCUGGUGCCAUGCAGGUGGCUGGCUUGAAGUCUAUCACGUCUAAACACUUGGCACUAGCGAGCCAGGUCAUCAGUUUUAUAUAUGAUAUUGUUCCUGAAAUUAGGCAGGCCCUUUUUCUAAAAGUUCCUGAGGCAAGGCAGGCAUUAUUGCGUUCAGAGAUUGAUCGCGUGGCUCAGGACUAUAAAAUUCACCGUGAUGAGAUACAUACAAAGCUGGUUCAAAUAAUGAGGGAAAGAUUGUUGUUUCAUCUGCGUAGCUUGCCUCAAAUUGUUGAGAGUUGGAAUAGACCUGAAGAUAAUGAUUCACAGCCUAGUCAGUUUGCUCGAUCCCUUACAAAGGAAGUUGGCUAUCUUCAACGUGUGUUAUCUCGAACUCUACAUGAGGUGGAUGUCCAAGCAAUUUUCAGGCAGGUGGUGAAAAUCUUCCAUUCACAAAUUUCAGAAGCAUUUUCACACUUGGAGAUCAGCACUCCACAAGCAAAGAACAGGCUAUAUCGGGACAUUCAACAUAUUCUUGGAUGCAUUCGAUCAUUGCCUUCUCAUAGUAAAUCUAGUGUCCCAAAUUCAGGGCAACUUGAUGAGUUCUUGUUGCAAAGAUUUGGUGCUGAUACAUCUUGAUGGAUUGAUUGUAUAGUUAGUUGGUCAUAUCUUGAUGAAAGACUCGCUGGAUUUGAGAGGAACAUUUUGGCAAUGUCAGAACCCACACUUGAUCCACACAUCUGUGUUCUACGAUUACAUUGAGGCGUCUGGCUUGCUUUUCAGGUAUAUAUUAUAGACAAACCACUACUGUAUCACAUUUGAAUGUUGCGGCGUGAAGCAUAUUGGAGCAAAGAGGUUUUUAUUUUUUUGUAGCAGUCAUACUAGAGUACUGGAGAGUACAAAAUCUGUAAUGAAUAGGGCCCUCGACCUUCUGCUCUUUUGCCUGUAGCUUGUGGCCUAGAUGGAGUAAACUAAUUUGUUUGUUUUUAGUGUUAUUUUUCAUUUUGCGAGGGCUAAGUCAUUUUCUUGUCAACAGCAAUUGUGUUUGUAAGUCAUUCUGAAUAUAUAAGACCCUCGAUUUUCUGCUCUCUGGCAUGUAGGUUUUUGGGUUUUUAGAUGGAGCAGGCUGAUUUGAUUGUUUUAGGAGACAAAAUUUAGUAUUGGGUUCUUUUUCAGGUUUCCUUGUCUUCAUUUCCCCCCCGAAAGGGGGAAAAAGGAGAAGAGGGGGGGGAGGCGGCAAGGAUCAUAUUGUAUCGGUAUCUGCUAUACUGAAAUCAUAAAAAUAAAAGCAUUUUUUUUCUUGUUUA